UACAGAGGGGGCAAGCGUUGUUCGGAAUUACUGGGCGUAAAGCGCACGUAGGCGGCUUGGUAAGUUGGGGGUGAAAUCCCGGGGCUCAACCUCGGAAUUGCCUUCAAGACUGCUUGGCUUGAGUUCGGAAGAGGUGAGUGGAAUUCCCAGUGUAGAGGUGAAAUUCGUAGAGAUUGGGAAGAACACCAGUGGCGAAGGCGGCUCACUGGUCCGAUACUGACGCUGAGGUGCGAAAGCGUGGGGAGCAAACAGG
rnacentral:rRNA from 1 species